CGUGAAUGACUUCAUAACAAGCAAACUGCCGAGAGGCAAGAGCUACAAAAUUAAUAAUUCAUCAAUUAAACGGUCGCCGGUGCAAUUUAAUGACAUCUGAGAUGAGGAUUAAGUGUGGUAGCAAUUAUCACAAAGUAAAUCUUAGUGUGUACCACAAAUGUUAGAGGAACUGGUUAAGUAUAAAUACAUGUACAUGAAACAUGUACUUCCCAAAGUUUGCAUUUAGUAGUUCCUGAUUAUAUACUAGAUUAAAUAUGCUUUCGUCUGGAAAUUGGAAUAAAUAUGAGAAACAGUACAAGAGAGAACAAUAGGAAAUGUGAUUUUUGCGGUUCUAUGUGCUGGAAGUGGUGACUGGAAGAGGCCUACGGGGAAUUCUGUCAGGAAGAGAUAUGCUCUGAGUGCUUGUUGAAAGGUAAAAUGGAAAAUGUCAUAAACAAAUCUGUGGAGAAUAGAUACAAGUGUGAGAUAUGUAGCUAUGCUAGCAAUAUUAGUUGGAAUUUUAGGAGACAUAUGAGAACACAUACUGGAGUGAAAUGUUUUAAAUGUGAUUUUUGUAGCUAUGCAAGCGCUGAAAAGGGAGACCUGAAAAGACAUACGAAUUUACACACGGCUGAGAAAUGUUUAAAGUGCGAUUUUUGUGACUAUACAAGUAACUUCAACUAUAGUCUUAAAACUCAUGUUAGAAUGCAUACUGGGGAGUGUUUUAAGUGUGAUAUUUGUACUUUCACAAGCAAUUUUGAUAGUGUUGUUAGAAGACAUAAGAAAAUUCAUACAGGAGAAAAAAACUUUAAGUGUGAUUUAUGUAAUUAUGCAAGUAACCGAAGUGUUAAUUUGAAAAGGCAUAAAACAGUACAUACAGGUGAAGCUGGAGAAAAAUGCUAUACAUGUGGUAUUUGUAACUAUGCAAGUAAUGGACGUAGACAUCUUGAAAGACAUAUGGAAGUACAUACAGGAGAAAAACACUUUUUGUGUCAUGUUUGUGGUUUGAGAUACAGAAAGAAUGUAACGUUGAAAACACAUAUGAGAAUACAUACUGGAGAGAAAUAUUUGAAUUGUAACUUGUGCUGAAAGGCAAGGUUGAAGAAACAUACGAGAAUACACUUGAGAGAGAAAUAUUUUAUUUAUAUGUUUCAAAUUUGAUCUUUGCGACUUUACCUAAAACUUACACUGUAAACUAAACAAUCAUACUAGGAUACAUACAGGGAAGUGCUUUAAAUGUGACGUUUACAAGUGCUUAUGCUGAACCAGUCAAAGCUGUCGGUUGAAAAGACAUAUGACCUAGUAUACAUACAUACAGGAGAAAAUACUUUUAAUUGUGAUUUCUGUUACAAAAUAAUCUAAAAGCGCAUAUAACAAUACAUACAGGCGAAA
rnacentral:lncRNA from 1 species